rnacentral:rRNA from 1 species
AGCAGCCGCGGUAAUUCCAGCUCCAAUAGCGUAUAUUAAAGUUGUUGCAGUUAAAAAGCUCGUAGUUGAAUUUCGGGGCCAGUAGGUUGGUCGUGCCACUGGUAUGCACUGGCCUUACUGGUCCCUCCCUCUUGUAGAACCGUGAUGCCAUUAAUUUGGUGUUGCGGGGAAACAGGACUGUUACUUUGAAAAAAUUAGAGUGCUUAAAGCAGGCUCGCGCUUGAAUACAUUAGCAUGGAAUAACGGAAUAGGACGAUCGAACCUAUUUUGUUGGUUUCUAGGAUCGACGUAAUGAUUAAUAGGGAUAGUUGGGGGCAUUAGUAUUCAAUUGUCAGAGGUGAAAUUCUUGGAUUUAUUGAAGACUAACUACUGCGAAAGCAUUUGCCAAGGAUGUUUUCAUUAAUCAAGAACGAAAGUUAGGGGAUCGAAGACGAUCAGAUACCGUCGUAGUCUUAACCAUAAACUAUGCCGACUAGGGAUCGGAUGAAGUUAAUUUUUAAUGACUCAUUCGGCGCCUUAC